rnacentral:misc_RNA from 1 species
CCUCCUUUCUAAGGAUGAUUAAGGAUUAUUUCUUAAUCUAAAUAAUAUAACAGGUUAAUGUUGACCGUCCUCAUUUCUCUUCUUAAAGUAGUGUUUCUCUUUUCUGCAUAGGGGCCGGUAGCUCAGUUGGUUAGAGCACACCCUUGAUAAGGGUGGGGUCGAAAGUUCGAGUCUUUCUCGGCCCACCAAUAUAAUGGGGGAUUAGCUCAGCUGGGAGAGCGCCUGAUUUGCAUUCAGGAGGUCAGCGGUUCGAUCCCGCUAUCCUCCACCAAGAAACACUUAGUUAUUUAAUUUGUAAAUAAAUUUUAAUAUUAUCAAUAUCUAUAUCCGAUUGUUCGAAUAGAUGAACAAUCAUGAAUGUUCGAAUAGAUGAACAUUCCAAAAAAAUUUGAUUCAACACAGAAUUUUUUUCUGUGCAUAAAUCAAGCGUUUAAGGGCGUGUGGCGGAUGCCUUGGCACUGAAAGCCGAUGAAGGACGUGGUAUACUGCGAUAAGUUA